AGCCCCCUGGCAAUGGGCAAAGAGAUACCUUGUUGGUGUUGUUCUUAUAUCAGUCAGGUGCAGAACAGAUAGCAGUCUUUUGUUCAUCCUAGCUUGAUGCCUGACUUGGGGGCCAAAGUUGUUUUAAGCCUAGGACUCAUAA